GGGCCGAUAGCUCAGUUGGUAGAGCAGGGGCCUUUUAAGCCCUUUGUCCUGGGUUCGAGUCCCAGUCGGCCCACCA
rnacentral:tRNA from 1 species